GAUGAAGAACGUAGCGAAAUGCGAUACUUGGUGUGAAUUGCAGAAUCUCGUGAACCAUCGAGUCUUUGAACGCAAGUUGCGCCCGAAGCCAUCAGGUUGAGGGCACGUCUGCCUGGGCGUCACAUAUCGUUGCUCGAUGCCUAUCGCAUUGCGAUAGGACUUAGGGCGAAUGAUGGCUUCCCGUGAGCGUUGUUGCCUCGCGGUUGGUUGAAAAUCGAGUCCUUGGUAGGGUGUGCCAUGAUAGAUGGUGGUCGAGUUGGCACGAGACCGAUCAUGUGCAUGCUCCCCAAAAUAUGGCCUCUGUGACCCACACGCGUCUUUUGACGCUCAUGACGAGACCUCAGGUCAGGCGGGGCUACCCGCUGAAUUUAAGCAUAUCAAUAAGCGGAGGA
rnacentral:misc_RNA from 1 species